UCGAAACCUGCAAAGCAGACCCGUGAACAUGUUUUGAUAAGAUUGUGGCCGUGAUGCUGGAUCCGUUCGCGCCCAACAUCACGGCCUCGACCCCCAAAUGAUGUAAGUUGCUUGGGUGUACUAACCUCGCGGCGCGGCAAGCGCCAAGGAAAACAAAACCGAUCACCUCCUCCGUCUGGGUGCUGCUUUAUGCGGUGCCCAUGACGUGAUGGGGAGAAUCAAAAUGAAAUAGUCAUAACGACUCUCGGCAACGGAUAUCUCGGCUCUCGCAUCGAUGAAGAACGUAGCGAAAUGCGAUACUUGGUGUGAAUUGCAGAAUCCCGUGAACCAUCGAGUCUUUGAACGCAAGUUGCGCCCGAAGCCAUCAGGCCGAGGGCACGUCUGCCUGGGCGUCACGAAUUGCGUCGCCCCCAACAUCAUCGUUCUCCACUUACAGUCGGGAAWCGRUGCAUGAUAUGGCGGGGUGGAUAUUGGCCUCCCGUUAUCUCUGUGUAGCGGCCGGCUKAAAUAAAAAACCGUGUCGAUGGAUGUCACAUGAUACGUGGUGGUUGGAUUCGUCAACUUUUGAACUAUCAUGCCAGACAAUAUCGUGUCACGGGAACGACCCACUGGCAGCAAAUGCCCUCGAAUGCG
rnacentral:rRNA from 1 species